UGGGGAAUAUUGCACAAUGGGCGAAAGCCUGAUGCAGCAACGCCGCGUGAGUGAUGAAGGCCUUCGGGUUGUAAAGCUCUGUCUUUUGGGACGAUAAUGACGGUACCAAAGGAGGAAGCCACGGCUAACUACGUGCCAGCAGCCGCGGUAAUACGUAGGUGGCAAGCGUUGUCCGGAUUUACUGGGCGUAAAGGAUGCGUAGGCGGAUUUUUAAGUGAGAUGUGAAAUACCCGGGGCUUAACUUGGGUGCUGCAUUUCAAACUGGGAAUCUAGGUGCGGGAGAGGAGAAUGGAAUUCCUAGUGUAGCGGUGAAAUGCGUAGAGAUUAGGAAGAACACCAGUGGCGAAGGCGAUUCUCUGGACCGUAACUGACGCUGAGGCAUGAAAAGCGUGGGUAGCAAACAGGAUUAGAUACCCUGGUAGUCCACGCCGUAAACGAUGAGUACUAGGUGUAGGAGGUAUCGACCCCUUCUGUGCCGCAGUUAACACAAUCAAGUACUCCGCCUGGGAAGUACGAUCGCAAGAUUAAAACUCAAAUGAAUUGACGGGGUCAUAGCUGUUUCC
rnacentral:rRNA from 1 species